rnacentral:rRNA from 1 species
UACGUAGGCAGCGAGCGUUGUUCGGAAUUACUGGGCGUAAAGAGUGUGUAGGCGGUGCUCUAAGUUUGGUGUGAAAUCUCCCGGCUCAACUGGGAGGGUGCAUCGAAUACUGGAAUGCUAGAGGGUGGGAGAGGUAAGCGGAAUUCCUGGUGUAGCGGUGAAAUGCGUAGAUAUCAGGAGGAACACCUGUGGUGUAGACAGCUUACUGGACCACUUCUGACGCUGAGACACGAAAGCGUGGGUAGCAAACAGG